GACGAACGCUGGCGGCGUGCUUAACACAUGCAAGUCGAACGGAAAGGCCCUGCUUGCAGGGUACUCGAGUGGCGAACGGGUGAGUAACACGUGGGUGAUCUGCCCUGCACUUCGGGAUAAGCCUGGGAAACUGGGUCUAAUACCGGAUAGGAGCCAUUUUUAGUGUGAUGGUUGGAAAGUUUUUUCGGUGUAGGAUGAGCUCGCGGCCUAUCAGCUUGUUGGUGGGGUAAUGGCCUACCAAGGCGGCGACGGGUAGCCGGCCUGAGAGGGUGGACGGCCACAUUGGGACUGAGAUACGGCCCAGACUCCUACGGAGGCAGCAGUGGGGAAUAUUACACAAUGGGCGCAAGCCUGAUGCAGCGACGCCGCGUGGGGGAUGACGGCCUUCGGGUUGUAAACUCCUUUCGCUAGGGACGAAGCUUUUUGUGACGGUACCUAGAUAAGAAGCACCGGCUAACUACGUG
rnacentral:rRNA from 1 species